UGACCGGGGGCGGGAGGGAGCAUCAGAAUGGCAUUCAGGGCAAAGGCACGAGGGUGGCUGGCAGGGCGCUGGCUGUCCCUGAGCUGGGCACGCGCGCUGGGCACCAGAGCCGCUCCGGCCCCCAAGGCGGUGCUGCCCUUCGAAGCCAUACCCCAGUGUCCCGGCAACAAGUGGAUGAGGGUGCUGCAGAUCUGGAAGGAGCAGGGCUCUGAGAACUUUCACCUGGAGAUGCACCGGACCUUCCAGGAGCUGGGGCCCAUUUUCAGGUAUGACGUGGGAGGGACGCACAUGGUGUACGUGAUGCUGCCCGAGGACGUGGAGAGGCUGCAGCGAGUGGAGAGCCCUCAGCCCUGGCGGCCGCCCCUGGACCCCUGGCUGGCCUACCGACAGCAUCGUGGGCACAAAUGUGGCGUGUUCUUGCUAAACGGGCCUGAAUGGCACUCGAACCGAAUGAAGCUCAACCCAGACGUGCUGUCGCCACAGGCCGUGCAGAAGUACAUCCCUAUGGUGGACGGGGUGGCGAGGGAUUUCUCAAAGGCCCUGAAGUCAAGAGUGCUGCAGAAUGCCCGGGGGAGUCUGACCCUGGACAUCCAGACAAGCAUCUUCUACUACACCAUAGAAGCAAGCAAUUUAGCCCUUUUUGGAGAGCGGCUGGGUCUCCUCGGCCAUAGCCCCAGUCCUGCCAGCCUGAACUUUAUCCAGGCUCUGGAGGCCAUGUUGAAGUCCACCGCACAGCUCAUGUUCAUGCCCAGGGGCCUAUCACGCUGGACAAGCACCAAGGUGUGGAAGGAGCACUUUGAGUCCUGGGACUACAUCUUCCAGUAUGCCAACAAUGCCAUCCAGAAGAUCUACCAGGAGCUGGCCCUCGGCCGCCCGCAGCACUAUAGUGGCAUCGUGGGGGAGCUGCUGAUGCACGCGGACAUGACCCUGGAGUCAGUCAGGGCCAACUCCAUCGAACUCACCGCCGGGAGCGUGGACACGACAGCCUACCCCUUGUUGAUGACUCUCUUCGAGCUGGCUCGGAACCCUGAUGUGCAGCAGGCCCUACGCCAGGAGAGCCUGAUGGCCGAGGCCAGAAUUGCUGAGAAUCCCCAAAGGGCAACCGCAGAGCUGCCCCUGCUGCGGGCGGCCCUCAAGGAGACCUUGAGGCUGUACCCUGUGGGUAUCUCAGUGGACCGACAGGUGGGCUCGGACAUGGUGCUGCAGAACUACCACAUCCCGGCAGGGACCUUGGUCAAGGUGCAGCUCUACUCCCUGGGUCGAAAUCCCUCUGUGUUCCCGAGGCCCGAGCGCUACCAUCCCCAGCGCUGGCUGGACAACAGGAGCUCUGGCACCAGGUCCCCCAACCUGGCCUUCGGCUUUGGCCUGCGCCAGUGCUUGGGGCGGCGCCUGGCAGAGACAGAGAUGCUGCUCCUGCUGCACCAUGUGCUGAACAACUUCCUGGUGGAGACCCUAACACACGAGGAUGUAAAGAUGAUCUACCAGUUCAUACUGAUACCCUCCACCCUCCCCCUCCUCACUUUCCGGGCCAUCAGCUAGUCACGUCACCACGCUGUCAGGCCAGCCACUCCGCCAGCCCCCCUCUGCCUGACCCCAGGUCACCCCUGUUUUCUCCCAAGGGCCCUGCUUCUUGAGCCAUGGCACUGGGCAGCCAGCACCUUGCACAAAGGGUCAGGGGGAUGACCCUUGAUUGCAGGUCCUGGCUGUGUGCCCAGUCCCCCCAGCACCUUCUCCAGCAAGGAGCACCAUCGGAGGGCCUUUGAGCCUCUGUCGCCCCAACACUAGCUCCAGGGUCUUCGGAACCGCCGAACCCCCCGCCUCCCUGUCCAAUCUCUUUUCCCCUCUGUACUCAACUCUGCCCCCAUGAAGAGCUGCCAGCUUGGGGUCCCUGUCCUGCUCGUUGCCAUUUCAAACGCCGUACUCAUUUUCGGCAAUGCUCUUGCCCAGCCUAGAGCUUCAAGCUCGGCUGUUGGUCGCCCCCCCAGCUGUUCUGCUCAGUCCACUUGGGCUCCUCCUGGCACUGCCAGUCCUCUGCGUUGUGGCUGAAGCACCCAGCCAAGGGCCCGGAGAAGUGGGUCAAGAGCAGUGUGUAUUAGAAGAAUAGCCACUGCGGCGCUGACGUGGACACCUGGGCCAAUGGUACUCCUCUGAAAGCAGGGAGGAUGGUGAACUCCUCUGGCUGGCCACAGGGUGACCACAGAGAAGUCUCUAGAAGGCGGCUUGGGGCCAUCUCAGCCAGGCACAGCCACGUGUUCCCCUUAAUGAAGCCCUCUGUGUGCAGUGCCUGGCGGCCCUCUGGCAGUGGCCCUCAGGAGAGGAGCCAGCCCUGACGUCGUGGGAGGAAGAGGCUCUGAACAGCUGAGAGCCGGCUGGGGUCUCCUGGCUGGCAGAAGCGAGCAGCCUGUCCCGUGCUGCCUGGGGCCAGGUGCCCCCGCCCCCGAGUAGAAAGGGGCCGGGAGGCAAGGCUGGGUGGUGGGGUCGCUCUGCUCGCCCUCCCUCCUAACCCCACCCCCACCUCCACUAGGGAGAACCAGACCCUGAGCUCACAGCAAGGCAGGGAGGGAGGCGGGGCCGCACCCUGGCUGAGCCAGCCCUGCCCUCGCCCAGGUGCCCCUAGGGCCUAUGUUCCCGUGCAGAUUCCCUGGAGAGGGAAAGGAUUUGCACCCUCCUGGCCGAUCGGUGGUGGAGGAGGACUGCUGCCAGUAGCGUCGGCUUCUCCCCGCUCCGGCCAGAGACGGCUGAAGGGGCCGUGGGGCCGCGGAGAAGAGGGGCUCCAGACCCUGCGGGCACACGGGCACAAGCCGGGGCCCGGCCUUUCCAUCGCGCCCAGCCCUUCAUCCCUCUGAGCCUCGAGUUCUUCCCGGGGGCAUUGUGUUCGAGAACUCCCACCUCACAGGCCCCGGGGAGGACCCAGCAAGUUGGCAUCUGGAAGGUGCCCAGCUCUCUGCUUCAGCAGGCGCUCGAUGAACGCAGAUUCCUUCUCCGCCGCUCAAAAGUCGCCUCUCUAUUUGAGGCCCUGCUCUGUGGUGACGCGAGGUGGCAGGCAGGCCUGGAAUGGAAGCCCCCCCCCCCCCCCGGAGAGAGCCUGUGUGUGUCCCUCUGUGCUGCGGGGCACACGUGUUCCCUCCUCUUCACAGCAGCCCUGGCAGGGGAGCACUGAGCUGACCCGUGUGGCCCAGGCCGGGAAACCGAGGCUCGGAGAAUCCGUCCAGCUGCACAGCCUCGCGGCUCAUCCGUGGCAGAGGUGCCACGAGAACCCCGCUCCUCGGGCCCUCCCCGCGCCUCUUCCCCCCCAUCAAAGGACGUGGGGUUGGGAGUGACCGCACACAUCUUGGAAACAACCUCGCAGUAAAGCGUCUUGGGGUCAAAAUCGUCUCUAUGUCCGCGGCGCUCCUGCAGUCUCACUGUCCAGCGCUCUGUGGAAGUCCCUUUUCGUGUGUCCUGCUUGGAAUUCCCCGAGGCUCUUGGCUGCGGACGUCCACUGGGCUCUUUCUGAAAAUCCUCCAGGUGAUCUGGAGGGACCCCGCUUGAUGAUCCUCGUUCCAGUGCCUCGUCAGGACUUCCCGUGCAGGAAUAGCCUUGCCUUUAACAUCGCGGACGUCCACAACCGGGACAUCUGUUCCUCGGGCAGGGGGCCUGGGCUGAGGCUGCGCUGCACCUGAGCGAUUCUCUGGCUCCUUCCAGUCCCCCAAGCAUGGUCCCCUGCCCAGGGCCACCUUUUGUGUUCAUUACUCAGCCUGGGGGUUCCCCGAAGACGCGAGGGACAAGAAUCCUGAGCCAACGUGAGGGCGUUUAUCCUGGUUCUCAGGCGGGAACGGAAAUAUCUGCCUACCUUGCAAGACAGGUCCUAGAGUGACUGGCUGUUUGUCGAAGCAGGAUUUCCCUUUGGGCUGCAAAAUGUUCCGGAAUUCGACGGUGGUGAUGGCUGCACAGCAUGGUGAAUAUAGUAAAAAAGACCAAAUUACACACUUUGAAAUGACGAAUUUUCUGUUGUGUGGAUUCUAUCUAAUUUAAAAUCAAGUUUAAGAAGGAGGAGAGGACAGGGCAAAAGAAGGUGUAGCUCUUGUGCUCCCUUCACGUCUCUUUUCUGACCCGGACCCUGUGUGCAAUGAGAAUGACAGCAGCAGCCCAAGAGUCCCCCUGCCAUUUCAAGGCGCUCACCAGCUGGCCCUCAGCCCCUUACCCUUCUCAGAGGUCAGCAGCUGAGGAAACCUCUCGCCGGCGUGAAGACAGGUGCCAUUUUGACGGAGGACUCUGGUUCACGCACGACUGGUCUGACCCACACAAAGGCACCGGGCACAGUGUCCAAUGUCAGGCGCUCAUUGUCUAUGUGCUACCUUGUCGCCAAGCACCCUCCUGCGACCAUCGUCCCGACCUGAAACCGGAAGCAUGGAGCCUCAGGUGGCCUCAGCUGCCUGUGGUCUGGGCACAGCUGGGAUUGCUCUUUCAGCCGACACAUGCACUGUCCCCUGUAACUGUUCUGCUUUUCAUUCGAAGACUCGAUCUCUGUAUGCUAAAGUGGCAAGAGGUUUUGGUUUACUUGUGAGAUGAUGUCUAAAGAGGAACGAACAGAUCAAACGCUAAAACCACAAAGAAAUCUCCGGGAUCACACAGCCCCUGAAGUGGAGUGCCCCUGGAAGUGUGGCCCUCACCUGAGUUUCUGCAGUUAGAUUGGCCCCUUGGCCAGAUGUUCCCAGCUCCCGGCCCAACAUAUAAACGUCGAUGCACGCUUAAUGCCAACCUGCUCCCCAGCACAGACUGGGCGCUCUGUCCCCCGGAGGUCCCACAACUACUGUGAUGACCUUCCCUGGUGGGCACACCCAAUAGCCUCGGCCAACAAAUGCCACUGGAGCAAGGCUCCAUCUGAGGCCUCCUUCGAGAGUCCUUCAGUUCAAUUCCUCGGCUCUCAUUCAUGAGUUCUGUUCCCCUGGUGACCCCAGUGUUUACACCAUACUUUCUCCCUGGAACUUGCCACAGUUGAUGUAUCCACUCAUGGCUCUGGGGUUAAAGAGAAGGAAUGAACAACUGGCUCCAGUCACUUGCUUUUCUUUAUUUGCCGUGUAACGGACUUUAGAAAGUUCAGUACUGUACUGCAGAGUGCAUAUUCAUAAGUCGACUGCCGAGUGGCUUUUCAUGAAGUGCUGCUCCUAACCAUAUCACCAACAUCAAGGUCCAGAAACAGAACUGGAUGAAAACCCUUGUUUCCUGCUUCUGUCCCUCCAUCAGGCACUAUAAGCAGCCAAAGCCAAAGAUAAGAAGUGUCUUGAUUUGAAAGCCUGUAUGUUAAUUUUGUCUGUUGUUGAACUUUGUGAUUAUGAAAUCCUGCAUUGUUU